GUAAUGCUGGGAGGAGACCUUUCUGAGGUAUGGUGUCAUCAUUACUCUUUUGUUUAUUUAUUUCAGCACCAUAAAGGAAGCAAAAAUGAUGAACCAACAGAGCAAACAAAAGUUGAAGGUGGAAAAUGCAGAAGUUUCUUCCUUUAACUUUAGGACUUCUGAAAUAAGUGCAAAGGAAGAGUUAGUUUUGCAUCCUGCUAAAUCAAGUCCAUCUUUUGACUUUUUGGAGCUAAACUAUGGUUGUAACAAAACUGUCAACACAAUCAACAAAUGGCAAACAAAGACAUUAUUAACAGUUGGAGAACCUCUUCAGAAGCACAAAAGUUUGGACUUCAGCUCCAGUUUGUUGGGGGCAUGUCCUAAUUCUCAAUCUAUAAAUGCAGGAGGAACAUGUUUUAAUUCAAAGGGGCCAAUAACACGAACCAAAUCAACUCCCUUUGAAUCAAUACAGCAGAGAACAAUUGAGGAGCUGGACAUUAAGGAAAAUUUUUCAUGUUUGGAAUCUCAAGCUCACAGUUCUUGUCCUGUGGAGUUCCAAGCUAAAAAAAUGGCACAUGUUUCUUCAGAAGAACUGAAUCAUUCACUAUCAUAUGACUCUAACCACCAAAUGUCCGAUGCUUUAAAUGUAAAGCAGCAUGGCUCUAGUGCUUUGGGUGUAUGUUCUGGCAUGUCUUUAGUAGAGGAACCUUAUUUUUCAUCAUUGCACCCAAGUAGUGCUGAUUGUAAAAUAUCUCUUGAUUUACCUGAGAAGCAAGAUGGAACUGUUUUUCCUUGCUCUUCAUUGCCAGCAUCCUCUACAAUCCACUUUUCUUAUUACAACUCAAAUGACUCUUCAGCAUUGAAUCCUCUGACCAAUUUUUCCCCACAACUGACCCAAGAGACGGCUGUAGUGACAUCUUCUCCAAAGAUAGAUGAUGAAAUCCCCCCUCCACUUCCUGAAAGAACACCUGAAUCUUUUAUUGUGGUAGAGGAAGCGGGAGAAUUACCACCAAGUGAACCCAAAUCCUUAUCCUCACCUGUGAAGAUACAAACUGGAACAUCACUGGAAUGGAGCAGAAUUUCUGAAACACAGACAUUUGAUGACUCUGUGAGGCUUAAGCCAAGCAAGAGUGUAAAGCUCCGGAGUCCCAAAGCAGUUCCACGUCAGGAUUCAUCUCCUUCUCCACCUCCACUCCCAGAAAGAACCUUAGAGUCCUUCUUUCUUGCUGAUGAAGAUUGUAUGCAGACCCAAUCCACAGAAACUUAUUCAGUUAACUAUCCUGAAACCACGGAAAAUUCAGCAUCUUCAAAACAAAUAAUGAAGACUACUGGAAAAAAUUUCACAAGGAGUAAGAGUUUGAAAAUUUUGCGAAACAUGAAGAAAAGUAUCUGUAAUUCUUCCACAUCAAGUAAGCUUGUAGAAGCUAUCCCAUCAAAUAAUUCCAGAUCAUUUCCAAAUUUUGGUUUUGCAAAUCGUUUUUCAAAACCUAAAGGACCACGGAACCCACCACCAUCUUGGAAUAUUUAAUACAACUCUGGAUUUAUAAGAAUAUGGGUUGAAUAUGUAUUUGUAUCUGCAAAUACAACUACUGGCUAGCUAAAAUAAAUGCUAUAUAGUCAUAAUAUCUUAAAGAAGAUAUGAUGUUAAUAGCUUUUAAAAGAAAAUCAUUAUGUGAAAAGUCCAGUUUUGCAUUUUCCAAUCAUUACAUUGGGUUGGAAAUUGUAGAUAAAACAGUUCAUUAUUUGAGUUUAUGAAAAGAAUGUGUAUGAAAAACAUUUUUAAAAUGGAUUUAUUUUUUACUUUUGGAAGUCAUUCUAUUUUUUUAUGUAAGUAUAAAUUUUUGUUCAUUUUUGUUUUGUUCACUAUGUUACCCAGUCUGGUCUAGAGCUCUUUAGAGCAAAUGAUUCUCCUGCCUCAGCCUCCUGAUUUCAUGAUGUGUUACCAUGCAUGAUUGAAAUAUAAAGUUUUCUUCAGUUUUUUCUGAGAGUAAAUAUUCUACCUAUGUGUGGUACAUAAUGUUUACAUUCUUUGUCAGAAAUUGGUAUGUGUAAAAGCUUUUAUAAAAAAUGGAUUCCAAUGAAAUUUCUACAUGGUAAGAAUAUAAUAAAAAAUUUAAUUUUAAAAUAUUACCUCGUAGUUGCAGUACAAAAUUACUGCUUGUGACAAUGCCUAUUCUGUGGGGGUUAUUUUUGCCUAAAUGGAGUCACAUAUCUUUCCAAGUGUGAGAGACGGUAAUAGUACGAAAAGAAGUUGUAUUUAAGAGACUCAAAUAAUGAUUUUUUAAUAAUUUGUUAUUUGCAUAGAUCAACAAGAUUGUCAACCACAUUCCUAUGUUUUAAUCUCAACUACCAAUUCUAGAAAAACAACAAAAUUGCAACAUUUUGGUAGAAUUUCCUUUAUAUAAAAGGUCCUAUAUAAACAUGCAGUUUCUACACAACCAACCAAAGGUUCUGGUCAUUUAAAUUUCUGUAUGUGGAUUUGUAUUAAGACAAUCUGACUUUCCAAAUCUAAUUUUAUGUAGCAAAUAAGUUAGUAGAACAAGUAUGAUUUGAACGGAUUCACUUUUCUUACCCUAAUGAUUUAACAUCUUAUUUUUUAAAAGUUUAUUUUUUAGAAACAAUAUUAGCAGUAUUUUCUCAUCAGUAUUUUUUAUUAGAAAGCCUAAUGAUGGGGUAAAUUGAAUGUCACGUUACCUGUCUAUUGUAGUACAAUGUACCCACUAGGUAUCAAUAAACUUUGUUUUCAGACUAAC
ensembl:lincRNA